AGUCUGUUAUGUGGACAAUCCCUGACUAAUCUCUUGAAUCUCCCCCAUGCAUCAUUGAGCGUUUCUUUUUCUUCCUGUUGAAAGUUUGUAAUUAGCCUUCUUCUUUU